GUUCUUGUUGUCUCCGAUGUAGUCUAGCCCACUCGGCAGCUGCGACAUUGUCAAGUCCAAAGAAUACGAAAUGUAAAGCGUCGAUUAGAAGACAGAGGGAUGUACGUCAUCACAUGAAGAUACCUCCAUUGUCAUCAUCACUUGCAAAAUCUACGAAGACAAAAAAAGCAAAGAGACCAAGACAGCCAGAAACACUUGCACCGUCUGCUGAAUCUCUCAUCAUUCAUCAGAAAAAGUUGAUCUUCGAAAUACUUGACCAACAUUCUGCAGCUGCUGUAGUUGACGGAGGAGAAUGAUACCAAUAGUCAGGUACAGGUAAAGUUUCAAGACACAUUUUGGUGUGAUAGCAUAAGGUCAUUUCUAUGAGAAGAUACGUCCAUGUCCAGAGUCUGAGGCCAAGAUGCCCAUUCCUAUAGUUGUAAGUGAAUGCAGUAAUAUGUAGUCAUGCACAGACAACAGCCAGCGUUUCUGUUACAUAAGAAACCGUAUGUCAACAGGCACAGUCACCAAUGCAAAAUUAAAGUGUCAUAGUCUCAUAUGAACAGGGAGCAACACCUAUCAGUCAGCCCAUCAGAGGUCAAAACACUGCCACGACCACUCCAUGUUGUUCCUUGCUCUGGCAAUGUCACACAUUUGCCUGAUUCAUUGUUCCAGUCAGCACUUGUGACAAGUGACCAUAUUGAAAAGAAUCCAGUGUGAUGAAGGUAUUGAUUAGUCUAAACAGCAACAACCACUUGACAUGAUAAACGAACUUAUGAACAAUUCAAGGGUAAUUAAUAUCUAGUUCAGUUGGUUGUCAUAAAAUAUCGUGCCUAUUGAUCUUGCUGUUAUGUGCAGCCGCAUUUUGUGGACGUUGAUGAUACCGUGGUGGCUCCAAAAGUCUGUGAACAAAUCAAAGAAAUAUUAACACGGGUUUCCAACAUUGAAAAGAAACUUGAUUAUCUACUGAGCAAAUCAGGGGAAAGAAGAGAAAGCACAGUGAUCAGUAGAACGAAAGUCAGGCUAAGAAAGAACCAUAGGUAGCCUGUGGUGCCUCUCUGCCAUCAAGGAAUGACUCAUCAGCUGCACCAUCUACUUCUGCUGAGUUGGAGUACAAUGACUUUUGUGGGCAAAAACUGUGCAUGAGGCACGCAGAAAGAAAGGUUCAUGUGAAAUGGCCAGAUGCCUCAUCCGGUGCUUCUUCACGCAUGAAGAGCUCGCUACCUGAAGCGUGUUAAAAGCAAGAAAUGGUUGUCACAAUCUGCCGCAUUCCAAUGAAGAACAGCUGCAACUG